rnacentral:tRNA from 1 species
AGGGCACUGGUGGCUCUCCCGGACUUCAAAUCCGGUGUGCCGGUUGCAAAACCGGCAGAUGGGUUCGAUUCCCAUGCACUUCC